rnacentral:rRNA from 1 species
UGGGGAAUUUUGGACAAUGGGCGAAAGCCUGAUCCAGCGAUGCCGCGUGUGUGAAGAAGGCCUUCGGGUUGUAAAGCACUUUUGUCCGGAAAGAAAUCCUCUGGGUUAAUACCUCGGGGGGAUGACGGUACCGGAAGAAUAAGCACCGGCUAACUACGUGCCAGCAGCCGCGGUAAUACGUAGGGUGCAAGCGUUAAUCGGAAUUACUGGGCGUAAAGCGUGCGCAGGCGGUUUUGUAAGACGGAUGUGAAAUCCCCGGGCUUAACCUGGGAACUGCAUUCGUGACUGCAAGGCUAGAGUAUGGCAGAGGGGGGUAGAAUUCCACGUGUAGCAGUGAAAUGCGUAGAGAUGUGGAGGAAUACCGAUGGCGAAGGCAGCCCCCUGGGCCAAUACUGACGCUCAUGCACGAAAGCGUGGGGAGCAAACAGGAUUAGAUACCCUGGUAGUCCACGCCCUAAACGAUGUCAACUAGUUGUUGGGGAUUCAUUUCCUUAGUAACGUAGCUAACGCGUGAAGUUGACCGCCUGGGGAGUACGGUCGCAAGAUUCAAAACUCAAA